UCCUCUGCUUCUCUUUCCUGGCCGCGCGGCGCCGCUGUGCUCCUCUCCCCACCGUUCGCUCCGAUGAUCGGCGUCGCCGUCUGCUGACUCGAGGGCGGCCCUCUAACCAGUCGAGUUGGGCAAGGAGCAGGAUGGUUGAACGCCGUGGACGGGAUACCAUGAGGAUUGGGCUCUGAGAUUUAAAUGCAUAGUGAGACCACCAAAGUGCAGAAUGGAGAGUCUAUGCGUUCGAUUUCAUUAUCGUGGGAAGUUGGAAUAUGUUGGGAAUGAGUGGAAACACAUAGGUGGAAGGAGUAGUUGUUCAAUAGUGCCAAUUUCCAACCUGUCACUGUCAGAACUGAAGAGACACUUCUCUGAUCAUGUGAGUAUUUCUGAUAAAGAUUUGCAGGCGACACGGUUGUCUUGGAGACUAAUUGAAAGGAAGAAAAAAUGCAAUUUCUUGUGUAGUCUUGAUGACAAUACGAUGGUGAACUCAAUGGCUAGGCAUGUG